AUGUUAAAUUCUAAACAAGUAAAAUAAAUGAUGAAGAAUUAUUAUGGUAUCUAUGUUAUUAAAGUUGAAGUACACAUUGAGAUUGUUUGGCAAUAUGGAUAGUAUGUUUAGUGAAAAAUGUUUGGAAACAUGUAUAAUUAAAGUCCUUUUAAUAAGUAGUUCUCGAACAUAAGCCUUUAACCAAAUUUAAAAAAUUCCGUGGCCCAUUUAUCUUCUAAACCAUCUGGUUUUACUAACCUUAACGAUGCUUGCUUCUCACGUCUACCCACAC
rnacentral:lncRNA from 1 species